rnacentral:rRNA from 1 species
CCUACGUGCGGCAGCAGUGGGGAAUAUUGGACAAUGGGCGAAAGCCUGAUCCAGCCAUGCCGCGUGUGUGAAGAAGGCCUUCGGGUUGUAAAGCACUUUCAGUGGGGAAGAAAGCCUUGGGGCUAAUACCCUCGAGGAAGGACAUCACCCACAGAAGAAGCACCGGCUAACUCCGUGCCAGCAGCCGCGGUAAUACGGAGGGUGCGAGCGUUAAUCGGAAUUACUGGGCGUAAAGCGCGCGUAGGCGGUCUGAUAAGCCGGUUGUGAAAGCCCCGGGCUCAACCUGGGAACGGCAUCCGGAACUGUCAGGCUAGAGUGCAGAAGAGGAAGGUAGAAUUCCCGGUGUAGCGGUGAAAUGCGUAGAGAUCGGGAGGAAUACCAGUGGCGAAGGCGGCCUUCUGGACUGACACUGACGCUGAGGUGCGAAAGCGUGGGUAGCAAACAGGAUUAGAGACCCCAGUAGUC